UACGUAUGGGGCAAGCGUUAUCCGGAUUUACUGGGUGUAAAGGGAGCGUAGGUGGUCUGGCAAGUCAGAAGUGAAAGCCCGGGGCUCAACCCCGGGACUGCUUUUGAAACUGCUAGGCUAGAGUGCAGGAGAGGUAAGUGGAAUUCCUAGUGUAGCGGUGAAAUGCGUAGAUAUUAGGAGGAACACCAGUGGCGAAGGCGGCUUACUGGACUGUAACUGACACUGAGGCUCGAAGGCGUGGGGAGCAAAC
rnacentral:rRNA from 1 species